rnacentral:tRNA from 1 species
CAAGAAGUAGUUUAAUUAAAAUAUUAAUUUUGGAGAUUAAUGAUAAAUUUAUGUAUUUUUUCUUGA